CCCUACACACAUGGAGCUGGCCUCAGGCAGUCCUCAGGAAAAUCUGGCCUUGUCCAACAGUCAGCAAGAAGCACACAUCUGAAACUGAAACUGUGUUCAAAGUACCAUGACUCCCACAUGGUAGAGAGUAUCACUUCAUGCUAGAUGUCUAACUUAGCAACAGGAAUACUGGGAACGGAAUAGUUUAGGUAGAUGUAGAGAAAAGGGAUGGAGUGAGUGGUGUGUAGUGCUUGAUAUCCAGCUGGGCUCAAACCACAACAGUCCAAUAUACAGGUCUGCUUCAAAACUCACUCUGGAAACACAGAAGAACUUAGUCCCUGCAAAAAGUAUGGAUAUAGCAAAACUCAGUGUGCCAAAUAUGAGAAGGUUACUCAGAACACAGAGUUAUACAGCAACAGGACAAAGUUACUUAAACCGUUGACAGUCUGAAGCAGAAAUUCCAAGAUCAUCUUUGGCGGAAACUUAUGAAAAAUGGAAUAUGCUUUGGUUGCUCUCACCUACUACAGCUACUGGAUAAGCCACCCUGUCAAAUGUCAUAAAGUCAAUGAAUCUUAAAAUACCACUCUGCUUAUUAUUAGAACAAUAAGCACCUCGGACUACUUUAAAGAAAAUCUUGUGGUAAGCCACAAAUAUGCUGCAUAGUCCCAUGAAAACAGGAGCCAAGGAACUCACAAAGGAAAGAAAAGAUGGUUUCAUUUUAACAGUUGUAGUGCAACCGCUGCAGAAAUAGCUCAUGCUUUCCACGUCUGUAUGUAUAUACACUUUACAAACCUCUAUAUACAAUGCAUAUUUCAAUUCUUCAUCAAACACAGACAUUAAUUGAUGAAUAUGCAUGGAACAGGAGGAAGAGAAGUAAUGCAAUAGGCCUUCUUUAAGAAAACAGAAUCUUGUAUACAUUUUGUUUUCAUCGAUGUCAUAGGCCGCCAUCUGUACAACAUCUGGGUGCCAUGUAAGUAUUCUUUCCUUCAUUAGGAGACCAAGUCUUAAAAGUACAUUUAGUAGUUUAUUUUUAAUUUAAAAAUUGCAUGACUGCUUUUCCCAAGACAUUGAGAAUAGCAUCUUUGUCCUUGAAGCAUAUAUUUUUUAUUCAUUGUUAGGU